GUGCCAGCAGCCGUGGUAAUACGUAGGUGGCAAGCGUUGUCCGGAAUUAUUGGGCGUAAAGCGCGCGCAGGUGGUUUCUUAAGUCUGAUGUGAAAUCCCACGGCUUAACCGUGGAGGGUCAUUGGAAACUGGGAGACUUGAGUGCAGAAGAGGAAAGUGGAAUUCCAAGUGUAGCGGUAAAAUGCGUAGAGAUUUGAAGGAACACCAGUGGCGAAGGAGACUUUCUGGUCUGCAACUGACGCUGAGGCGCGAAAGCAUGGGGAGCAAAAGGGAUUAGAAACCCGGGUAGUCCAUGCCGUAAACGAUGAGUGCUAAGUGUUAGGGGGUU
rnacentral:rRNA from 1 species